GUUGCUUCAAAAGCUGUAUGACUUUACUAUUUUGGUAAGGACAAUGAACGUGGCCUGCGUCCUCUCUUAGUUUUUAUAUAUGCAAGUGUUGGAUAGCAUCUCUAGAGCUAUUUUCCUGCUAGACUGAAACUUUAUGUUUACAGAUUACUAACUCCCUGCUUCCAUCUCCACCAGGGUUUGGUCUUUAAUUCUAUGAAGCUGACUAUCUCAGAUACUUUAGAAAUGUGGAGUCAUGCAGCAUUUCUCUCUCUGUGAAUGGUGUGUUUCACUUAUCACAUGGUCCUCAAGGAAAUGGAUUCAUUUCACAAUGAUUGGAUCAUGAAAAUGGAGCCCUCAAGAAUGGGAUUGAUGCCUUUAUGGAACAGGAGACACAGGAAGUGCCAUCAUUUUUCCAUGUGAGAACACAGUGAAAAGCUGUGAAUCAGAAAGUGGACUUUCAUCAGACACGGAAUGUGUUGAUGCCUUUAGACUGGUCUUCCCAGCUUCUAAAAAUGUCCAUGUGGCAGCGAACUGAGGAUGAUGUCAAUCAACAAGAAGUAAAUACCUUAGACCAGCCAUCAAAAUCAAAUAAACUGCUGCCAACAUCAAUAUGAACUUAGAAGCCAAUUUUCCACUGGAGCGUGUGAUGAGAACCAAGUCCCAGACAACAUCUUGACUGAAGCUUUGUGAGAUCCUAAAGAACCAGCUAAGUUGUGUCCAGGCUCCUGACCCACAGAAAUGAUUCAAUAAUGUGUGCAUGUUUUUUUUUAGGUAAUUAAGUUUGUGGUAAAAUGACUAUACAAGAAUAAGUAAAUAUAUACUCCAUAUGUCAAAUUUGAGCAUUAUUUAAACUUUCUGGAUUCCUAAGAUUGAGAAAGAUUAUGCAGCCACGUUCAAGCUCAGCAAGAUAAAGUGCUAUUGGUGAUAUAUGGAAUGAGCUGCAAUGAGAAGAAGUAAUACAUUUGCCUUUUAUAAGUCAUUCUACCCUCUCACACUCUGUGAGACCAAAGUGAGCACGUGAAAUGAUGUCAUAUGUCAAUCUUUUAUUCAAGAUCAAUACAGUCAGAAAAUGUUGUUAAAUGCCCAAUCAGGAAAGGGGCAUGGUUUGAAACAGGCUACAUGUAAGUUUUUAUGCAUACAUUCUUUUUUUUUAACUUUUAUUUAAUGAAUAUAAAUUUCCAAAGUACAGCUUAUGGAUUACAAUGGGUUAUGCAUACAUUCUAUGAGGGGUUGUAACUGGAACAAAUUGUCCUAAUUUGAAAGUCUCAAAUUCCAGUCAAAAGGGCUCAGCUAUUUCUGGGCUGCAGAAAAUGGUGGCUUUGUAAACUAGUGGUCCAGUGCUCCAGGUUUAAAAAUUUAAAGUGAAACAAAAUACUUCAAUUUUUAUGUGAAAUUUCCCACUUUUGUGAGCUGGAAAUUAUGGCCCAACAGGUUAAGCCUCCACUUGCAAUGUGGUUUCAUGUCCAUUUCCUAUUCAGCUCUCACCUAACGCAACUGGGAAAGCAGCAGAAGAUGGCCCUAGAACUUGGACCCCUGCCACUCUCAUGUGAGCCCUCAGUGGAGUCCCAGGCUCCUGGAUUCAGCCUUAUCCAGUCCUGGCUGUUGCGAUCUGUU